rnacentral:rRNA from 1 species
GGCUCAGGACGAACGCUAGGCGGCGUGCCUAACACAUGCAAGUCGAAACGGAGUGUUGCGCUGAUUUGAAGUUAGCUUGCUAAUGAAUUUCUUGUAACACUUAGUGGCGGACGGGUGAGUAACGCGUGAGUAACCCUGCCUUACAGAGGGGGGACAACAGUUGGAAACGACUGCUAAUACCGCAUAAUGUGGUGAGAGGGCAUCCUCUUAUCACCAAAGGAGCAAUCCGCUGUAAGAUGGACUCGCGUCCAAUUAGAUAGUUGGUGAGAUAAUAGCCCACCAAGCCGACGAUCGGUAGCCGGACUGAGAGGUUGAACGGCCACAUUGGGACUGAGACACGGCCCAGACUCCUACGGGAGGCAGCAGUGGGGGAUAUUGCACAAUGGGGGAAACCCUGAUGCAGCGACGCCGCGUGAGGGAAGACGGUUUUCGGAUUGUAAACCUCUGUCUUUAGGGACGAAAAAAUGACGGUACCUAAAGAGGAAGCCACGGCUAACUACGUG